rnacentral:rRNA from 1 species
UCGUUGUAGCAAUACGAUGGAAAAUUUAGUGGCGAACGGGUGCUUAACACGUGGGCAACCUGCCAGGAAGUGGGGGAUAGCUCGCCGAAAGGCGAAUUAAUACCGCAUGUGAUUAGAGAGGACAUCCUUUCGAAAUUAAAGUCGGGGCAACCUGACGCUUCUUGUGGGGCCCGCGGCCUAUCAGCUAGUUGGUGAGGUAACGGCUCACCAAGGCUUUGACGGGUAGCUGGUCUGAGAGGACGACCAGCCACACUGGGACUGAGACACGGCCCAGACACCUACGGGUGGCAGCAGUCGAGAAUUUUUGACAAUGGGGGAAACCCUGAUCGAGCGACGCCGCGUGGAGGAUGAAGGUCUUCGGAUUGUAAACUCCUGUCAUUGGGGAACAAUGCACAGAUAUUAACUGUAUUUGUGUUGAUAGUACCCGAAGAGGAAGAGACGGCUAACUCUGUGCCAGCAGCCGCGGUAAUACAGAGGUCUCAAGCGUUGUUCGGAUUCAUUGGGCGUAAAGGGUGCGUAGGCGGCGCGGUAAGUCGGGUGUGAAAUCUCGGAGCUUAACUUCGAAACUGCAUUCGAUACUGCCGUGCUUGAGGACUGGAGAGGAGACUGGAAUUCUCGGUGUAGC